CCUACGGGAGGCAGCAGUGAGGAAUAUUGGUCAAUGGGCGGAAGCCUGAACCAGCCAAGUCGCGUGAGGGAUUAAGGCCCUGCGGGUCGUAAACCUCUUUUGCCGGGGAGCAGUGGUCCGGACGCGUCCGGACCGGGAGAGUACCCGGAGAAAAAGCAUCGGCUAACUCCGUGCCAGCAGCCGCGGUAAUACGGAGGAUGCGAGCGUUAUCCGGAUUUAUUGGGUUUAAAGGGUGCGCAGGCGGGAGAUCAAGUCAGCGGUAAAAUGUCGGGGCUCAACCCCGGCCGGCCGUUGAAACUGGUUUUCUAGAGUUGGAGAGAAGUAUGCGGAAUUCGUGGUGUAGCGGUGAAAUGCAUAGAUAUCACGAAGAACCCCGAUUGCGAAGGCAGCCUGCCGCAGCGUUACUGACGCUGAAGCUCGAAAGCGCGGGUAUCGAACAGGAUUAGAUACCCUGGUAGUC
rnacentral:rRNA from 1 species